GAUGAACGCUAGCUACAGGCUUAACACAUGCAAGUCGAGAGACCGGCGCACGGGUGAGUAACGCGUAUCCAACCUACCCAAUACUCAGGCAUAACCCGUUGCAAGACGGACUAAUUCCUGAUGGUGUUGGAUGGGGAUGGGUUGGAUUAGUUUGUUGGUGAGGUAACGGCUCACCAAGAAGUCGAUCAGUAGGGGUUCUGAGAGGAAGGUCCGCCACAUUUGAACUGAGGCACGGGCCAAGCUCCUACGGGAGGCAGAAGUGAGGAAUAUUGGUCAAUGGAUGCAAAUCUGAACCGGCCAAGUAGCGUGCAGGAUGACGACCUAUGGGUUGUAAACUGCUUUUAUGGGGGUAUAUGUAUCACAUGAAUAAGGACCGGCUAAUGCCGUGCCAGCAGCCGCGGUAAUUC
rnacentral:rRNA from 1 species